GCCCUGUAGCGCAAUAGGAUAGUGCGUUGGACUUCUAAUCCAAAGGUCGUGGAUUCGAAUACCACCUGGAAUA
rnacentral:tRNA from 1 species